rnacentral:rRNA from 1 species
AUGAACGCUGGCGGCGUGCCUAAUACAUGCAAGUCGAGCGAACAGAUGAGGAGCUUGCUCCUCUGACGUUAGCGGCGGACGGGUGAGUAACACGUGGAUAACCUACCUAUAAGACUGGGAUAACUUCGGGAAACCGGAGCUAAUACCGGAUAAUAUAUUGAACCGCAUGGUUCAAUAGUGAAAGACGGUUUUGCUGUCACUUAUAGAUGGAUCCGCGCCGCAUUAGCUAGUUGGUAAGGUAACGGCUUACCAAGGCAACGAUGCGUAGCCGACCUGAGAGGGUGAUCGGCCACACUGGAACUGAGACACGGUCCAGACUCCUACGGGAGGCAGCAGUAGGGAAUCUUCCGCAAUGGGCGAAAGCCUGACGGAGCAACGCCGCGUGAGUGAUGAAGGUCUUCGGAUCGUUAAACUCUGUUAUUAGGGAAGAACAAAUGUGUAAGUAACUAUGCACGUCUUGACGGUACCUAAUCAGAAAGCCACGGCUAACUACGUG